GACGAACGCUGGCGGCGUGCUUAACACAUGCAAGUCGAGCGGAGCGGCGAAGGGGAGAGUAACGCGUAGUAACCUGCCCCCCUCUCCGGGAUAACAGAUGGAAACGGGUGCUAAUACCGGAUAGUGGGGGAUGGUCUGGCGCCCUAUCAGCUUGUUGGUGGGGUAGUGGCCUACCAAGGCGACGAUCCGUAACUGGGCUGAGAGGAUGAUCAGUCACACUGGAACUGAGACACGGUCCAGACUCCUACGGGAGGCAGCAGUGGGGAAUAUUGCACAAUGGGCGAAAGCCUGAUCCAGCCAUGCCGCGUGUGUGAAGAAGGGCUUCGGAUUGUAAAGCACUUUAAGUUGGGAGGCGUUACCCGCAGAAUAAGCACCGGCUAACUUCGUGCCAGCAGCCGCGGUAAUUC
rnacentral:rRNA from 1 species